GGCUUUGUAGUGUAGUGGUUAUCACAGCGGAUUCUGAUGAGACUCAUUCCCAUCAUCACGUGUUCCGCUAACCCAGGUUCGACUCCUGGCAAGGCCU